GUGGCGAAAGGGCGAGGAAUACAUGGGCAACGUGCCUUAGUGCACGAGGAUAACUGCGGGAAGCUGCAGUUAAUACUCGAUAAGACCACAGCACCUUCGGGUGCAGGGGUCAAACGGUGGGGACCUUCGGGCCUACCGGCAUUUGAGCGACCCAUGUCCUAUCAGCUUGUUGGUGAGGUAACGGCUCACCAAGGCGACGACGGGUACCGGGACUGAGAGGUUGACCCGGCGCAUCGGGACUGAGACACUGCCCGGACUCCUACGGGAGGCUGCAGUAACGAAUAUUCCGCAAUGGGCGAAAGCCUGACGGAGCGACGCCGCGUGUGGGAGGAAGCCCUUCGGGGUGUAAACCACUGUCAGGGAUUACCAAGCAAAGUUGGCGAAUAGCCUUCUGCGUUGAGGAGUCCCAGAGGAAGCCACGGCUAACUUCGUGCCAGCAGCCGCGGUAAUACGAAGGUGGCGAGCGUUGUUCGGAAUCACUGGGCUUAAAGGGCACGCAGGCGGACUGUAAAGCGUCUUGUGAAAGCCCCCGGCUUAACCGGGGAAUUGCUAGGCGAACUGGCAGUCUUGAGGCAGGUAAGGGCGAGUGGAACUCUUGGUGGAGCGGUGGAAUGCGUAGAUGUCAAGAGGAACGCCGGAGGCGAAAGCGACUCGCUGGGCCUGACCUGACGCUGAGGUGCGAAAGCCAGGGUAGCGAACGGGGUUAGAUACCCCGGUAGUCCUGGCCAUAAACGGAUGUCCACUAGAUCGG
rnacentral:rRNA from 1 species